UACGUAGGGCGCAAGCGUUGUCCGGAAUUAUUGGGCGUAAAGAGCUCGUAGGCGGCUUGUCACGUCGGGUGUGAAAGCCCGGGGCUUAACCCCGGGUCUGCAUCCGAUACGGGCAGGCUAGAGUGUGGUAGGGGAGAUCGGAAUUCCUGGUGUAGCGGUGAAAUGCGCAGAUAUCAGGAGGAACACCGGUGGCGAAGGCGGUUCUCUGGGCCUUACCUGACGCUGAGGAGCGAAAGUGUGGGGAUCAAACAGG
rnacentral:rRNA from 1 species